rnacentral:miRNA from 1 species
GUCCAUCACAGAGCAGCUCGCU